rnacentral:rRNA from 1 species
UACGUAGGGUGCGAGCGUUAAUCGGAAUUACUGGGCGUAAAGCGUGCGCAGGCGGUUGUGCAAGGCCGAUGUGAAAGCCCCGGGCUUAACCUGGGAAUGGCAUUGGUGACUGCACGGCUAGAGUGUGUCAGAGGGGGGUAGAAUUCCACGUGUAGCAGUGAAAUGCGUAGAGAUGUGGAGGAAUACCGAUGGCGAAGGCAGCCCCCUGGGAUAACACUGACGCUCAUGCACGAAAGCGUGGGGAGCAAACAGG